UAUGGAACCUGCCUUGUACAGGGGAAUAGCCCAGGGAAACUUGGAUUAAUGCCCCGUAGUACCGUAUUUCGGCAUCGUUAUACGGUUAAAGCCUUCGGGCGGUACAAGAUGGCCAUGCGUCCCAUUAGCUUGUUGGUAAGGUAACGGCUUACCAUGGCUACGAUGGGUAGGGGCCCUGAGAGGGGGAUCCCCCACACUGGUACUGAGACACGGACCAGACUCCUACGGGAGGCAGCAGUGAGGAAUAUUGGACAAUGGAGGAGACUCUGAUCCAGCCAUGCCGCGUGCAGGAAGAAUGCCCUAUGGGUAGUAAACUGCUUUUAUACGGGAAGAAAAAGAGCUACGUGUAGCUUACUGACGGUACCGUAAGAAUAAGGACCGGCUAACUCCGUGCCAGCAGCCGCGGUAAUACGGAGGGUCCGAGCGUUAUCCGGAAUUAUUGGGUUUAAAGGGUCCGUAGGCGGGCCGAUAAGUCAGGGGUGAAAGUCUGCCGCUCAACGGUAGAACUGCCUUUGAUACUGUCGGUCUUGAGUUAUAGUGAAGUUGCCGGAAUAUGUAGUGUAGCGGUGAAAUGCAUAGAUAUUACAUAGAACACCGAUUGCGAAGGCAGGUGACUAACUAUAUACUGACG
rnacentral:rRNA from 1 species